rnacentral:tRNA from 1 species
GGCGGGUUGCCCGAGUGGUCAAUGGGAACGGUCUGUAAAACCGUCGCGAGAGCUACGUUGGUUCGAACCCAACACCCGCCACCA